rnacentral:lncRNA from 1 species
UCAGACCAGCAGAUACUGGAAGAACAUUCAGGCCGGAACCUCGCCGGCCAAAUGUAUGGCAUUCAUUCCAAUACAGUGCAGGAAGGGCAAUACCUUUCGAUGAGAUGACUAGGACCCAGCAAAGGCGUUUCCAGCGAAACUAUGGACGGAUGAUGAGGCAGCAACAAGGAAUGCCACAUCCCAAAGCGCCUCUAUUACUCAAGGUAGCCAAUCAGAACGUCCUCAAGGGUAGUAAAGAGACUGGUACAGAUGAAUCAAUGAAGGAACUGCCAGAAACCUCUUUUGGGAGGUCAAGGUUUGAGAGGGACAAAAAGGACGAAGAAGAUCCAGAUCAGCCCGUUGCUAUCCAAUUCAGUACAUUGCCCCCUGUCGUGGCCAAUAAUUACCUACUGGCCAAUGAAUUCAAAAAUAAAGAAAAGGAAGAAGAGAGGGAGGACAACGAAGGAGAAGCCUGCAUGCUGGUACAGAUGAAUCAAUGAAGGAACUGCCAGAAACCUCUUCUGGGAGGUCAAGGUUUGAGAGGGACAAAAAGGACGAAGAAGAUCCAGAUCAGUCCCUUGCUAUCCAAUUCGGUACGUUGCCCCCUGUCGUGGCCAAUAAUUACCUACUGGCCAAUGAAUUCAAAAAUAAAGAAAAGGAAGAAAAGAGGGAGGACAACGAAGGAGAAGCUUGCAUGCUGGUAUGUGAAGAAGGCCAGACUUCUGGAGAGGCCUACAACGAUGAAGAGGACGAUGGGAUGAC